rnacentral:rRNA from 1 species
UACAGAGGGGGCCAGCGUUAUUCGGAAUUAUUGGGCGUAAAGGGCGCGUAGGCGGCUUUGCGUGUCUUUCGUGAAAUCCCUCGGCUCAACUGAGGACGUGCGGAAGAAACUGCAGGGCUGGAGUCCGGGAGAGGAGGGUGGAAUUCCCAGUGUAGCGGUGAAAUGCGUAGAUAUCAGGAGGAACACCUGCGGUGUAGACGGCUUACUGGACCAUAACUGACGCUGAGGCACGAAAGCGUGGGUAGCAAACAGG